AGGACAAUACCCAAGCCCUAUGACCAAAAAAAAAAAAAAGUAUCAAAUCCCCUUGCUUCAUGCUCUUAAUUUGCAUGUGUUUAUUAAGCAUCACAGAUAAGAUGCCACAUACACACAUGUCUCUGUAAAUUGAUCUGGUGGCACAUAAAGUACACUUAGUCAUCUGUCAUGACCAGGUGUUCUAUGCUCCUGCUGCCCUCAGACGGUUUGUGAGACUUGUUCAAGUGGAGUGGCUGCACUACCUCUUCUACAGGUUGUUGACUGUUGGCAUUCAUUUUACACAGCCACCUGAACUGCAGGUUAAGGAGGUUUUAUAAACACGAAAAUGGUCCUUCCUGCCAGAAAAAUUAGAGGUUUUGGAAUAUUGUGUUGUAAUUUUAAAUUGAACCUUAAUAACGACAUUUAUAAAAGUAACUUUGGCUUAUACUAUGGACUUAAA